UACGUAGGGACCGAGCGUUGUCCGGAAUCAUUGGGCGUAAAGAGCGUGUAGGCGGCCACUUAAGUCCUGCGUGAAAUCUUGCGGCUCAACCGCAAGCGGUCGUGGGAAACUGGGUGGCUAGAGUGCGGGAGAGGAGAGUGGAAUUCCUGGUGUAGCGGUGGAAUGCGCAGAUAUCAGGAAGAACACCCGUGGCGAAGUCGGCUCUCUGGAACGCAACUGACGCUGAGACGCGAAAGCGUGGGGAGCAAACAGG
rnacentral:rRNA from 1 species